UACAGAGGGGGCAAGCGUUGUUCGGAAUUACUGGGCGUAAAGGGUGCGCAGGCCGCACGGGCAGUCAAAUGUGUAAUUCAGGGGCUCAACCCCUGCACUGCGCUUGAUACUUCCGUGCUCGAACCUUGGAGAGGAGUCUGGAAUUCUCGGUGUAGCAGUGAAAUGCGUGGAUAUCGAGAAGAACACUUAGGGCGAAAGCAAGACUCUGGACAAGUGUUGACGCUCAUGCACGAAGGCUAGGGGAGCGAACGGG
rnacentral:rRNA from 1 species